rnacentral:rRNA from 1 species
UACAGAGGGUGCGAGCGUUAAUCGGAGUAACUGGGCGUAAAGGGCACGUAGGCGGUUAUAUUACUCUGAAGUGAAAGACCUGGGAUUAACCUGGGAUGUGCAUUGGAAACGGUAUGGCUAGAGUAUGGGAGAGGGAAGUGGAAUUUCCCGUGUAGCGGUGAAAUGCGUAUAGACCGGAAAGAAGACUCGUGGCGAAGGCGGCUUUCUGGCCUAAAACUGACGCUUAGGUGCGAAAGCGUGGGGAGCAAACAUG